UACGUAGGUGGCAAGCGUUAUCCGGAUUUAUUGGGCGUAAAGGGAACGCAGGCGGUCUUUUAAGUCUGAUGUGAAAGCCUUCGGCUGAACCGGAGUAGUGCAUUGGAAACUGGGAGACUUGAGUGCAGAAGAGGAGAGUGGAACUCCAUGUGUAGCGGUGAAAUGCGUAGAUAUAUGGAAGAACACCAGUGGCGAAAGCGGCUCUCUGGUCUGUAACUGACGCUGAGGUUCGAAAGCGUGGGUAGCAAACAGG
rnacentral:rRNA from 1 species